rnacentral:rRNA from 1 species
CAGGAUGAACGCUGGCGGCGUGCUUAACACAUGCAAGUCGAACGAUUAAACCGGCUCCGGCCGGACAUAGAGUGGCGAACGGGUGAGUAACACGUGACCAACCUGCCCCGCGCACCGGGACAGCCUCGCGAAAGCGGGAUUAAUACCGGAUACUCCGGCGGCACCGCAUGGUGCGGCCGGGAAAGCUCCGGCGGCGCGGGAUGGGGUCGCGGCCCAUCAGGUAGUAGGUCGGGUAGAGGCCGACCUAGCCGACGACGGGUAGCCGGGUUGAGAGACCGACCGGCCACAUUGGGACUGAGAUACGGCCCAGACUCCUACGGGAGGCAGCAGUGGGGAAUAUUGGGCAAUGGAGGAAACUCUUUAACCCCCAGCAAUGCCGCGUGAACGAAGAAGGUCGUAAGAUUGUAAAGUUCUUUAGUCAGGGACUAAUAAAUGAAGGAUCUGAAGAAUAAGCUCCGGCUAACUACGUGCCAGCCGCGGC